UACCCUACGGGCGGCUGCAGUGGGGAAUAUUGCACAAUGGGCGAAAGCCUGAUGCAGCAACGCCGCGUGAGUGAUGAAGGCCUUCGGGUUGUAAAGCUCUGUCUUCUGGGACGAUAAUGACGGUACCAGAGGAGGAAGCCACGGCUAACUACGUGCCAGCAGCCGCGGUAAUACGUAGGUGGCAAGCGUUGUCCGGAUUUACUGGGCGUAAAGAAUGCGUAGGCGGAUAUUUAAGUGAGAUGUGAAAUUCCCGGGCUUAACUUGGGAGCUGCAUUUCAAACUGGGUAUCUAGAGUGCGGGAGAGGAAAGUGGAAUUCCUAGUGUAGCGGUGAAAUGCGUAGAGAUUAGGAAGAACACCAGUGGCGAAGGCGACUUUCUGGACCGUAACUGACGCUGAGGCAUGAAAGCGUGGGGAGCAAACAGGAUUAGAUACCCCUGUAGUCGU
rnacentral:rRNA from 1 species